UAAUUUGAAAACAAUAAAUUUUGAAAGAGGAUUUGAUUUUCCAAUUUUAAUUUUGAUUUAGUGUUGUAAAUGGUGUUGUAGCAAUGGCGGCCACUCCACAACGAAGAAGACCAACGGAUGGGUUAAGCGAAGAAAGAAAAAAUAAAGAAUUAAAACUAAAAAAAAAACAUAAAUAAAAACAAAGAUUAGGAAAUUAUAUAAAAUUGACAGGUGGC
rnacentral:lncRNA from 1 species